rnacentral:rRNA from 1 species
CCUACGGGAGGCAGCAGUAGGGAAUCUUUCACAAUGGGCGAAAGCCUGAUGGAGCAACGCCGCGUGCAGGAUGAAGGCCUUCGGGUUGUACACUGCUUUUAUAAGCGAGGAAUAUGAUGGUAACUUAUGAAUCAGGAUCGGCUAACUACGUGCCAGCAGCCGCGGUCAUACGUAGGAUCCGAGCAUUAUCCGGAGUGACUGGGUGUAAAGAGUUGCGUAGGUGGCAUAAUAAGUAGCUAGUGAAAUCUGGUGGCUCAACCAUUCAGACUAUUAGCUAAACUGUUAAGCUCGAGACCGUUAGGGGUAACUGGAAUUUCUAGUGUAGGAGUGAAAUCCGUAGAUAUUAGAAGGAACACCAAUAGCGUAGGCAGGUUGCUGGGACGGUUCUGACACUAAGGCACGAAAGCGUAGGGAGCAAACGGGAUUAGAUACCCUAGUAGUC